ACGCAUACGACGGGCUCUUUUGGAAUGGCAUGUGGACCUCGGGCAGAAUGUGUAACCAAGCGCAAAUGAAUCAUCGAAGUCGGGCCAAAAAGACCAGCCCAGACCGCAGGGCCACGAUCGGUAGUCCGAUGUUUUUAAUAAGGCAAGGAGACAAACAACCAGGAAUUGGGUCAGCCGAGAUAAAUGCGAGGUCUCCUAUGAGCAGAUUCUGCUAACCCACUUUGGAGGUGAUCCCAGCGACCCAGAAGAGCCACCCAGCCAAGCGGAUCGCUUGCUCCAGAGAACCACUGACCAUCCAGACCAGAUCGCAUCCCUUGGGCGGCUCUUUGAUCCCAUUUACGGAGCGCGAUGGGAAGUUUCGGACUUACUGGAGCAUGGAUGAGAUUCGCUUUCGUUUGCGGAUCGAUUUCAGCGGAGGAAGGAGAAUGAUUACACAGCCUCGAUCCAACCGAGGAUCACAACACGUUUUUGGACUUUUGGGGCCCAGUGCUGUUUCAGUUGCAGUGGCCAGUAGCUGAAAACUGAAAGCCUCGGACCAGCAAUUAUAAAUGGCAGCCAGCCCGCAGAGUUGGCCACAAUAAUUGCCCCAAAGGGGAAAUCGGCAGCAGUAACUACUCCAACUUUGUAUCUGGCUGCAAACACGCUAACUACUCCGGUGUUUUCCUAGGCGGUCGAAUGAUAUACGAGGAGUUCUAUGACUUUUAUCGCACAGUUCUAACUAACUGCAGGCGAGAUGCUCGGAUGAGGGUAAUCCACGCAGAUGUAUCUGGACUGCUUUUCAGGGGACUCAAACUUAUCAAACGAUCUAACUGUUUCUCGUCCAUAAUUCAGGAUCAAGGCAAUUUAAUUCAGCUAGAAGUCAUCAAAUAAUUUACAGGAAAAGCCAAUAAAGACGCUCAUUGUGUUUUUUAAAUCGAAAUAAAAGUGCAAUUACUAAUAAUGAC